CGAAAGCCUGACGGAGCAAGACCGCGUGAGGGAGGAAGGCUCUUGGGUUGUAAACCUCUUUUCUCAGGGAAGAAGGACUGACGGUACCAGAGGAAUAAGCCUCGGCUAACUCCGUGCCGACAGCCGCGGUAAGACGGAGGAGGCAAGCGUUAUCCGGAAUUAUUGGGCGUAAAGCGUCCGCAGGCGGCUAUUUAAGUCUGCUGUCAAAGCACGGGGCUUAACUCCGUUAAGGCAGUGGAAACUGAAUGGCUAGAGUGCCGUAGGGGUAGAGGGAAUUCCCGGUGUAGCGGUGAAAUGCGUAGAGAUCGGGAAGAACAUCGGUGGCGAAAGCGCUCUACUGGACGGCAACUGACACUCAGGGACGAAAGCUAGGGGAGCG
rnacentral:rRNA from 1 species